GGGAAAAUGUUAAAUGUGAUUCAAAGUAUGUACAAAAAUAUUAAAUCAAAUAUUAUUUUUAAUAACAGCAAGUCUGAUUAUUUUCCGUGUAAUAAUGGGGUAAGGCAAGGGGAAAAUAUGUCCCCUUUUUUGUUUGCAGUUUUUUUAAAUGACUUGGAAAUUUUUUUAAAAACAAAAAACUGUAAGGGCCUUUUCACAGUUGCAGAAGAAUUAGAACAUGAACUUGAUGUAUUUCUCAAUAUCAUUUUAUUACUAUAUGCUGAUGAUACUGUUUUGAUGUCUGAAACACCAC
rnacentral:lncRNA from 1 species